rnacentral:rRNA from 1 species
UGCCAGCCGCCGCGGUAAUACGGAGGGUGCAAGCGUUAAUCGGAAUUACUGGGCGUAAAGCGCACGUAGGCGGACUUUUAAGUCAGGGGUGAAAUCCCGGAGCUCAACUCCGGAACUGCCUUUGAUACUGGAAGUCUUGAGUCCGAGAGAGGUGAGUGGAACUCCGAGUGUAGAGGUGAAAUUCGUAGAUAUUCGGAGGAACACCAGUGGCGAAGGCGGCCUGCUGGGCUUGUUCUGACGCUAAGGCGCGAAAGCGUGGGGAGCAAACGGGAUUAGAUA